GGUCCCAUGGUCCAGUGGUUAGGACAUUGGACUUUGAAUUCAAUAACUCAAGUUCAAAUCUUGGUGGGUCGG